AAAUUGAAGAGUUUGAUCAUGGCUCAGAUUGAACGCUGGCGGCAGGCCUAACACAUGCAAGUCGAACGGUAACAGGAAGCAGCUUGCUGCUUUGCUGACGAGUGGCGGACGGGUGAGUAAUGUCUGGGAAACUGCCUGAUGGAGGGGGAUAACUACUGGAAACGGUGGCUAAUACCGCAUAACGUCGCAAGACCAAAGAGGGGGACCUUCGGGCCUCUUGCCAUCAGAUGUGCCCAGAUGGGAUUAGCUUGUUGGUGAGGUAACGGCUCACCAAGGCGACGAUCCCUAGCUGGUCUGAGAGGAUGACCAGCCACACUGGAACUGAGACACGGUCCAGACUCCUACGGGAGGCAGCAGUGGGGAAUAUUGCACAAUGGGCGCAAGCCUGAUGCAGCCAUGCCGCGUGUAUGAAGAAGGCCUUCGGGUUGUAAAGUACUUUCAGCGGGGAGGAAGGUGUUGUGGUUAAUAACCGCAGCAAUUGACGUUACCCGCAGAAGAAGCACCGGCUAACUCCGUGCCAGCAGCCGCGGUAAUACGGAGGGUGCAAGCGUUAAUCGGAAUUACUGGGCGUAAAGCGCACGCAGGCGGUCUGUCAAGUCGGAUGUGAAAUCCCCGGGCUCAACCUGGGAACUGCAUUCGAAACUGGCAGGCUUGAGUCUUGUAGAGGGGGGUAGAAUUCCAGGUGUAGCGGUGAAAUGCGUAGAGAUCUGGAGGAAUACCGGUGGCGAAGGCGGCCCCCUGGACAAAGACUGACGCUCAGGUGCGAAAGCGUGGGGAGCAAACAGGAUUAGAUACCCUGGUAGUCCACGCCGUAAACGAUGUCUACUUGGAGGUUGUGCCCUUGAGGCGUGGCUUCCGGAGCUAACGCGUUAAGUAGACCGCCUGGGGAGUACGGCCGCAAGGUUAAAACUCAAAUGAAUUGACGGGGGCCCGCACAAGCGGUGGAGCAUGUGGUUUAAUUCGAUGCAACGCGAAGAACCUUACCUGGUCUUGACAUCCACGGAAGUUUUCAGAGAUGAGAAUGUGCCUUCGGGAACCGUGAGACAGGUGCUGCAUGGCUGUCGUCAGCUCGUGUUGUGAAAUGUUGGGUUAAGUCCCGCAACGAGCGCAACCCUUAUCCUUUGUUGCCAGCGAUUAGGUCGGGAACUCAAAGGAGACUGCCAGUGAUAAACUGGAGGAAGGUGGGGAUGACGUCAAGUCAUCAUGGCCCUUACGACCAGGGCUACACACGUGCUACAAUGGCGCAUACAAAGAGAAGCGACCUCGCGAGAGCAAGCGGACCUCAUAAAGUGCGUCGUAGUCCGGAUUGGAGUCUGCAACUCGACUCCAUGAAGUCGGAAUCGCUAGUAAUCGUGGAUCAGAAUGCCACGGUGAAUACGUUCCCGGGCCUUGUACACACCGCCCGUCACACCAUGGGAGUGGGUUGCAAAAGAAGUAGGUAGCUUAACCUUCGGGAGGGCGCUUACCACUUUGUGAUUCAUGACUGGGGUGAAGUCGUAACAAGGUAACCGUAGGGGAACCUGC
rnacentral:rRNA from 1 species